rnacentral:rRNA from 1 species
UACGUAGGUGGCAAGCGUUGUCCGGAUUUACUGGGCGUAAAGAGCGCGCAGGCGGUCGUUCAAGUCGCGUGUGAAAGCCCCCCGGCUCAACUGGGGAGGGUCACGCGAUACUGAUCGACUCGAAGGCAGGAGAGGGAAGUGGAAUUCCUGGUGUAGCGGUGAAAUGCGCAGAUAUCGGGAGGAACACCAAUGGCGAAGGCAGCUUGCUGGGACGGUACUGACGCUGAGACGCGAAAGCGUGGGGAGCAAACAGG